rnacentral:rRNA from 1 species
GACGAACGCUGGCGGCGUGCUUAACACAUGCAAGUCGAACGGAAAGGCCUGCUUUCCCUUGUGGAUUGCGGGUACUCGAGUGGCGAACGGGUGAGUAACACGUGAGUGAUCUGCCCCCAACUUGGGUAUAAGCCUGGGAAACUGGGUCUAAUUCCCGAUAGGACUGCAGGGUGGUGCCUGUGGUGGAAAACGAUUUUCUAGUGGUUGGGGAUGAGCUCGCGGCCUAUCAGCUUGUUGGUGGGGUAAUGGCCUACCAAGGCGGCGACGGGUAGCCGGCCUGAGAGGGUGGACGGCCACAUUGGGACUGAGAUACGGCCCAGACUCCUACGGGAGGCAGCAGUGGGGACUAUUGCACAGUGGGCGGAAGCCUGAUGCAGCGACGCCGCGUGGGGGAUGACGGCCUUCGGGUUGUAAACUCCUUUCGACCGCGAGGAAGCCACCUGGUUGGAAGGGUGGUGACGGUAGUGGUAGAAGAAGCACCGGCUAACUACGUG